rnacentral:rRNA from 1 species
UACGUAGGGGGCAAGCGUUGUCCGGAUUUAUUGGGCGUAAAGAGCGUGUAGGCGGCCGUACAGGUCAGCUGUGAAAACUCGAGGCUCAACCUCGAGACGUCGGUUGAAACCGUACGGCUAGAGUCCGGAAGAGGAGAGUGGAAUUCCCGGUGUAGCGGUGAAAUGCGCAGAUAUCGGGAAGAACACCCGUGGCGAAGGCGGGUCUCUGGACAGUUCCUGACGCUGAGGCACGAAGGUCAGGGGAGCAAACGGG